UACGUAGGGUGCGAGCGUUAAUCGGAAUUACUGGGCGUAAAGCGUGCGCAGGCGGCUUUGCAAGACAGAUGUGAAAUCCCCGGGCUCAACCUGGGAACUGCAUUUGUGACUGCAAGGCUAGAGUACGGCAGAGGGGGAUGGAAUUCCGCGUGUAGCAGUGAAAUGCGUAGAUAUGCGGAGGAACACCAAUGGCGAAGGCAAUCCUCUGGGCCUGUACUGACGCUCAUGCACGAAAGCGUGGGGAGCAAACAGG
rnacentral:rRNA from 1 species